rnacentral:rRNA from 1 species
UACGGGGGGGAGCAAGCGUUGUUCGGAUUUACUGGGCGUAAAGGGCGCGUAGGCGGCCACCGCAAGUCGACUGUGAAAUCUCCGGGCUUAACCCGGAAAGGUCAGCCGAUACUGCGGGGCUAGAGUGCAGAAGGGGCAACUGGAAUUCUCGGUGUAGCGGUGAAAUGCGUAGAUAUCGAGAGGAACACCUGCGGCGAAGGCGGGUUGCUGGGCUGACACUGACGCUGAUGCGCGAAAAGCUAGGGGGAGCGAACGGG